GUGAGGAGCUGUGAGCGGCUGGAGAUUGUUGGCGGUCGGCGAGGCAGAGGGAGGCCUAAGAAGCAUUGGGGAGAGGUGAUUAGGUAGGACAUGAUUGGAAUGCGGGUUUCCGAGGACAUGACCCUUGAUAGGAGAGUCUGGAGGUCUAGAAUCAGGGUUGUAGGUUAGGUGCUCCUAGAGUUCUUCGUACGCCUCAACCGGGGUUGGGUGUGGGCUAGCAGGGAUACCCAUAGAUGAUUUGUGCUUUAGCUUAUGUCCCCGCAAUGGUUGUUAGUUAUGGUAGUUACUGUAUGAUAUUAUUGCAUGCGAUUGUAUUUAUGUUUCUUAUGUUUAGAUAAUUAUUUAUGCUAUUUCUGCGAGAGUUACUAAUGCUCUAUUGUUAUUGUUUUUAUUUUUGUCUUUGUUUUUGUUUUACAGCUGUUUUUCCUUUUAUCCUAUGCGCCGAGGG
rnacentral:lncRNA from 1 species